rnacentral:lncRNA from 1 species
CUCCUACCAGGGCCACCUAAAACCUCCUCGUACAGUCUGUUGGGCGUGUUGUAAUGCUCUUGUCUCUUUGCAAACUUACGGGAAUUGCUUAUUCAACUUUUCAGGGUGUUGACUUUUUCUUUUUUUUGGCAAAAACUGUAUAGUCUUGCUCACUAAGGUUGGUAAGCUGCUGUGUUGCGGCUUUGUGAUUUUGGAUCCCAAACGGUGUCUGCCUACAAAUCCCGGGACCAAAUGCACUAACCGAGCUGCGUGUCAGCAGAGCUCAGUCGUGUGCGUGUGUUUUUCGCCGCGGUGUGACACACGGUGGCUGUUGUGUCAGGCGGUCGCCUUGAACAAAAGCAGAACGGGUCGAGGUGGGGUGAAUCGAGCUGGAAAGUUCACCUGGUAAACACAGAUAUGGAGGGAGUUUUGGCGGGUAUGACAGCACUCACAGCAAACUUUGCAUCCCUUUCCGUGCAUCCGCAGACCACGUCCUCGGUCGGCGUCCUUGGGAAGCAAUACCCUUGAGGCUGCUAUGCAGGAAAGAGUUUUUAGGUGGGACUGCAGCCACCUGGUGUGUGGAAACUGGCCUGAUUUGCAAGCGCUGCAAUCUGCUGCUUCCGCCGGUCAGUUUGCUGCAGCGUCCUGCAGACUGGUCAGAUCUCCCCGCAGAGCCAACACGGAGAGUCACAAAGUCUGGUUCUGCCCGGAAAAUGUCCGGGCGGUUUUUGAAAUGCCGCUCCUGGUGACAGAACGUGAGGAAGAGAAGAACUCGUUAAGUUUGUGCAUAAACUUUCYUUUUUCAUCUCAAAUGUAGUGCCUGACUCUUUUCUUUCAUAUUUAAAACUCCAGUGCUGCAAAUGCUUAUCCAUUCCCACUGUCUUUGGGAUGAAGAACUGUAAUUAUCCAGAUUGUCCUUUUUUUCUUUUUUUUUUUUUUUUAAGUGCAGAUAGGCUGCUUCACAGGCUUUCUGUCAUGCAGUGCCGUAUGAAGAACGGAUGCCAGAGCUAUCAUAUCGGUAACUGCUGGAGCGUGUUGCUAGAGCAGCAUGGACUUCGGCAAGAAACAUGUUGAAGUGCACUCUUAUCUAGUAAGCCUUUUACUUUYUCAGUGAACAAAACUUUAGCAGCAGUGCUGUUACAGCAACGCUUUCUGCCUCUUCC